UUUUUGCGAAAAACCGCAGCCCGACUUGAACGGAGCUCUCCGCCGCGGCGGAAGCGGGAGUGGAAGGCGGAACAAGCU
rnacentral:misc_RNA from 1 species